GAGGGUAUAGCUCAGUGGUAGAGAGCGCACUUAGCAGGCACAAGGUCCUGGGUUCAAGCCCCAGUAUCUCCA
rnacentral:tRNA from 1 species